UAUUAUUGCCUACCGAAAAUGUUCACUCGGUAAUCCUAUGCUUCACAAACUCACUCAACCAUCUUAACUGCCAGUAUUUAUCGGUAGCUGGGUACAAAUGUGGACAUUUUCGUACUUUCACAUAGUUUUUACUCUUUGCCCGCAAUUGUAGUCAAAGCUUCUUCUGUAAAUAUGACAUAUAGUUGACAUAUUGAACAAUUAUUGAAGUAUCGCCCCCACCCACAACGCAUGGUAUUGCAUGCUUCGGUGCGUCGCGUAUCAAAAACUGGGAUGACACAUUUUGCUACGCAUCGACGCAUAAUGGCGGCCAAAGCGUAGCGAUGCGUAGCCUUGCGGCCGCGUAUGCGUAGCAAUGCGUUGAGUAUGUAAGAGCUCUUAAAGUGGCUGCUGCUGACGUGAACUUUAACGUUACAGAGACAGGCGGCUGACCCACGUCAAUACCGAAGUAAAUGCCAGGGAUCUUUAGUUUGUGAAAGGCGGUGAGUUGUGACGACUGCUGUCCUGAGACCAUUGAGUGCAGUUUGGAAUAUUCCAAAUGUGUGCCAGUUCCAUAAGAAAAAAGUUCCAAUCAAGAGUACACUCACCAGUGGGCUCAAUAGUCCAGGACAAAGUCGGUCUGUCCUUCUACUACUACAUGCUACUUGACUUUGUCUGGAAGCCAUGGAUGCUGCCCUCAACAUGCUAAACCCUCACAAAUAAACUGAUAUCAAGAAUUAACAUUGAUGGUGAUGAUGGAAAGGCCUUCAUAAGGUGCCCUCCAACAACCCCAGCCUGGAGCCAGAGGCUGGUACUGCACAUCAGAUGGGGUAUGAUCUGUGCUAGGCAUCAGAAAGGAGGUCUACGCAAGAAGGCAAGAGCUUCUGCAGACAGUGUUGCAAUUAGACAUCUGACCUUUACUGCUAAAGGGAUCCCCAUCAGAGCACCUCUGCCUUCCCUGCAGGACAACUAUACCAGAAGAGUACGGGCAAGGACUCAACAUGUUUUAAAGGACAUUUCACGUCCAGACCAUGGACUGUUAAAACCACUGAGGUCAAGCAGAAGUCUUGUUCUCACUCGA